rnacentral:rRNA from 1 species
AGAGUUUGAUCAUGGCUCAGAAUGAACGUUGGCGGCGUGGAUUAGGCAUGCAAGUCGUACGCUUUAUGUAGCAAUACAUGAAGAGUGGCGUAAGGGAGAGUAAUGCAUGGUUAGCUACCCUGGGGACUGGGAUAGCGGCGGGAAACUGCCGGUAAUACCAGAUGACAUCUUCGGAUCAAACGUGUGAAUCGGCCCUAGGAGGUGACCAUGUCCUAUCAGCUAGUUGGCGGUGUAACGGACCACCAAGGCUAAGACGGGUAUGGGGCGUGAGAGCGUGCCCCCACUCACUGGGACUGAGACACUGCCCAGACACCUACGGGUGGCUGCAGUCGAGAAUCUUCGGCAAUGGGCGCAAGCCUGACCGAGCGACGCCGCGUGCGGGAUGAAGGCCUUCGGGUUGUAAACCGCUGUCGUAGGGGAGGAAGGUCUGGUGUAUAGCCAGGCUUGACCGAUCCUAGGAGGAAGGGCCGGCUAAUCUCGUGCCAGCAGCCGCGGUAAUAC